GGUCGAACUGGAACUGGUACGGACUCGGGGAAUCCGACUGUCUAAUUAAAAACAGAGGAUACAGAUGGUUCUUGCGGACGUUUACUGUCUCUGAUUUCUGCCCAGUGCUCUGAAAGUUAAAUCGUAGUAAUUCGAGUAAGCGCGGGUAAACGGCGGGAGUAACUAUGACUCUCUUAAGGCAGCCAAAUGCCUCGUCAGCUAACUACUGACGCGCAUCAAUGGAUUAACGAGAUUCCCACUGUCCCGAACUACUAUCUAGCGAAACCACAGCCAAGGGAACGGGCUUGGUAAAAAUAGCGGAGAAAGAAGACCCUGUUGAGCUUGACUCUAGUUUGACAUUGUGAAGAAUCAUGAGAGAUGUAGUAUAGGUGGGAGAUUGAUGAUUUAUUUUAUUGAUCGACAAUGAAAUACCACCACUUUCAUCGAUUCUUUACUUAUUCGGUAAGAAGAGGAUUGAGUUUCGAUUCUUUAUUAUUUGUUUUAAAUACGGUCACCUGGUGACUAUACGACUCUCGCCGAAGACAGUGUCAGGCGGGGAGUUUGACUGCGGCGGUACAUCUGUCAAAUUGUAACGCAGGUGUCCUAAGGUUAGCUCAGAGAGGACGGAAACCUCUCGUAGAGUAUUUGUACAGAAUUUUUCUAUGAAUGUAUGAUAUUUAAUAUGGGAUUUUCGUAACAACAUAGAAUAGUGGUGUUAUGGAUCACAUUAAUUAGGAUUAACGAUCCAAAACAAAGCGCAGAAAGUUUGAAAUCGCUUAAAGAAAUACUGU
rnacentral:ncRNA from 1 species